AGCUUUGCUAGGGUUUUGUCUUUCAUCGAGCAAUUUUGGGGCAGCCAAGGGCUUCCAUCACUGGCGAUAUAGACAACUACCCAAUGAUCAAGUUUUCAAGCUGUCUUUCAAUCAGAAACAAGAUAAACCAAUUUCUCAAUUGUCAGCAUUUGGGGAAUACGGCUCAAGAAUUUUGGGUAAUAUUCCCUUAUCUCGAACGUAUUGCGUUCUAGGUCGUGCGAUCCGGAUCGCGGUUAGGAAGCAAAGUGAGCGAACCAGGUUUUAAUACGGCUUAGGUUUUAAUACGGAGCAAAAUUUGUCAAAUUUAUGGCUGAAUGGUGCUGUUUUAGUGAUGGGCUUUGUAUUGGUAUUAGUUAAUCGUGGGAGGCCAUGUUCAAUGCUAUUGAAGAAGUUAGGAUGUUGAAACCGACCAAGGCAUCAGCCAACGACAAGAAGAGGAAGUUAUCAAUGGCAAGUUAGCCACUGCCAUACCAACAACCUUCUCUACAACCAGAUCAUGCAACUAGGGUAGAACACCCAAUGUGACAAUAUUGCAACAGAUUCAAGUGCACACCAUGAUGAAGAUAGUGAUGAAGAUGUUGCUCAUGAAUAUGAUGCAAACUCUAAUGAUCGAGGACUUUUAUUAGAUAUAUUGUUAGCUUCCUUGCUUAAGAAAUGAUUAUAUUAUAAAGACCAAAUUUUGAAUAUUUAUCUUUGUUUGAACAUAUGUAUGAAU